rnacentral:rRNA from 1 species
AUUGAACGCUGGCGGCAGGCUUAACACAUGCAAGUCGAGCGGAGAUGAGGUGCUUGCACCUUAUCUUAGCGGCGGACGGGUGAGUAAUGCUUAGGAAUCUGCCUAUUAGUGGGGGACAACAUUCCGAAAGGAAUGCUAAUACCGCAUACGCCCUACGGGGGAAAGCAGGGGAUCUUCGGACCUUGCGCUAAUAGAUGAGCCUAAGUCGGAUUAGCUAGUUGGUGGGGUAAAGGCCUACCAAGGCGACGAUCUGUAGCGGGUCUGAGAGGAUGAUCCGCCACACUGGGACUGAGACACGGCCCAGACCCCUACGGGAGGCAGCAGUGGGGAAUAUUGGACAAUGGGCGGAAGCCUGAUCCAGCCAUGCCGCGUGUGUGAAGAAGGCCUUUUGGUUGUAAAGCACUUUAAGCGAGGAGGAGGCUACUUAGAUUAAUACUCUAGGAUAGUGGACGUUACUCGCAGAAUAAGCACUGGCUAACUCUGUGCCAGCAGCCGCGGUAAUAC